UCCGGUUUGUCACCGGUAGUCUCGCGUGAGUCCCCAACUUAAUGCUGGCAACACGCGACAAGGGUUGCGCUCGUUGCGGGACUUAACCCAACACCUCACGGCACGAGCUGACGACAGCCAUGCAGCACCUCUACCAGCUCCCUUGCGGGUCGUUCCCCUUUCAGGGUCCUACCACUGGCAGUUCAAGCCCAGGUAAGGUUCUUCGCGUUGCAUCGAAUUAAACCACAUGCUCCACCGCUUGUGCGGGCCCCCGUCAAUUCCUUUGAGUUUCACCCUUGCGAGCGUACUCCCCAGGUGGAAUACUUAUCAGGUUUCCUCAUGCGUUAGCUGCGCCAUCGACGGGCAAGCCCGCCAACGGCUGGCAUUCAUCGUUUACGGCGUGGACUAC
rnacentral:misc_RNA from 1 species